AUUGCCUCAGUGGUUUCCAGCCAGACUGAAUGCUUCUAUACUGGGUCCUGUUGGAAGCAAAUUGCUUCAUGAUUCCAGUACUUUUAAGAAUGCGAGGCUCCAGAUUAAUCCCAUAUGUUGUUUGAAGAUAAAAGUGAAGAUGCUGAUAUUGGUGGUUGGUUUUCUUUGUAGCUGCUGUUCUUUUGAGUAGCAGAUAUUACAGAGCUGCUCUUGCCACAGUAGAUAUGCCUGGGGACUGCCAACAAAGGCAAAUAUGCUCUUAAGAAAUUGAACUCCCAAAAACUUUGUUAAAGUGUAAUAGCAUAAUCUUCCUUUAACUGGAGUGAGAGUUUCUGGGCUUGGAACGUACUUGAGCUCACACGCACAAGCAGGGCUGCCAACAUGUGGGCUCCUGAUACAUUUCAGGUAUCUUGAAGCUUCCUGAGAGUGAAGAAUGAGACAUUGGUCUGCGACAUCAUUUCCAUAAUGGGGUUCAUACAGUAGCGCUCAUGGACAAAACUGUGCUACUGAAAUAACUCCCUGUUCUCCAACAUGUCAGACAUGCAGGGCACCAAAGUGACUGUUGCUCCUUGGAGAGAUCUAAUGUUUUGUCUUACCAGCAACAAGGCUGUAAUUCUCCAUCUGACUCUGCACAGUUCUGGCAGCAUUUUGGUAUGAACUCAGAGUCUUCCAAGUGCUUCUGGACCAUAUCCAUCUACAGCUAGAAAUUAACACAUGACAAGGACAACUCUGAAAAAGCAUUUUGGAUGCAACUGUGCUGUAUGGAGAGUAAGGAAAUUCAGCUUACCCUAUAGUUGUGCUGUGCCAGUUGUUCUCAGGGGCAGUGAUCCUUGCAUAGAGCUGGCUCAUUUUAUUUACCAUUGUGCAGGAAGGCUGAGUGGCUCUGAUAUGCUCCUGAAGCUGCUCAGCUUCUAAUGACUUAGAUGAUUGUGGGAGGCUUGCUUCUGAGUUCCUGCUGACUACAGGUCAGGAUCAGCUUCUGUUGAUCGCGUGCACUCAGCAAUGAGGAGGUUAGCAGCAUCUCCUUUAUUUGAGAUUCAGGCCAAGUAUUCCCAAACACUGGAAUACUUACUUAAGAUGACACAAUGAAGCUAGUGAGAAGUUUAAUUAAGACAGGCCUGUGAGGAUUCAUCUAGAAUUUCCUAAGUUAGUGCACAAAUGGCUCUGGAGUGGAAUGCAGCACAGAGUCAUAGCUGCUCAUGCUGCUUCAAGUUCUAUCAGACUGAUUUGUAGAACCCCUGUUCCCUGCUGGUUUUUGGCCUUGGUGGAAGGGAAGGACUGCAGUUUACCCCUCAUCAUCAGUCUGCUGUCUCUCUUUGAUACUCUCUUGCUUUCCUCUCAGACCUGCAAGUGUGAGGAGACAUCUCAGUCUCUCAUAACUGAUCUUCAAGGGACUUAUACUGCUGCUCUACUAUAUGGGAAGCUGACAGACUGCUUAAAGGGCAGACUUCUUACCAGUUAAGGAUUUGGAAAUAAGCCCUAUGACAUAGACCCUGGAGAGAAAGCCUGUCUUUCUGCUGAAAAUAAUAAUAAUAAAAAAAAAACAACUACAAAACCAAAGACAUUGUGUGAAGAUAUUUUCUCACAAAGGUUUCCUGCUCCAGAGCUUCUUCCUGUGGGUUUAAACUACAAUGGGGAUAGUUCAGACCACUGCAAAUGUUGAUACAAUUGAAGUGAAACAAGAAUCUAGUUUGUCUUUUUCUGACACAGAGACAUUUCUGCAUGAUGAAAGUGAUGACUGAGCUCUGAUCUGAAGAAAUCCUGAAUGCUCUGCAAUUCAUGUUAACAAAAAGCAAAAUUUUUCUUUUAUGUGAGCAUGCUAUUGUAGUAACUUUUCAAUGUGCUGUCAUUUGGUGGCAACAAAGAUCUCCUAUCUCUCUUCAAAAGCCUCCCUUUUGACCUCAUACUAAUUAGAGAGCAUGUAAAAACAAUUGCAAAUUAAAAUGCAUAAUGAUCUCCA